AUAAGAGGUCCCGCCUGCCCUGUGACAUUGUUUAACGGCCGCGGUAUUAUGACCGUGCGAAGGUAGCGUAAUCACUUGUCUUUUAAUUGAAGACCUGUAUGAAAGGCAUCACGAGAGUUUACCUGUCUCUAUUUUCUAAUCAAUGAAAUUGAUUUCCCCGUGCAGAAGCGGGGAUAUAGUCAUAAGACGAGAAGACCCUAUGGAGCUUUAAACACUUAAGUUACUAUCUUACUUAUCAAUUAAUCUAAAGACCUAACCUACCCUAAUAGUAACCUAACUUAAUGUUUUCGGUUGGGGCGACCAAGGAGUAAAAGAAAACCUCCUUAUCGAUUGAGUAUUUUUACUUAAAAACCAGAACGACAGUUCUGAUCAAUAGAAUAUCUAACGAAUAAUGACCCAGGGCUACACCCUGAUCAAUGAACCAAGUUACCCUAGGGAUAACAGCGCAAUCCUUUCUAAGAGUCCAUAUCGCCGAAAGGGUUUACGACCUCGAUGUUGGAUCAGGACAUCCUAAUGGUGCAACCGCUAUUAAGGGUUCGUUUGUUCAACGAUUAAUAGUCC
rnacentral:rRNA from 1 species